rnacentral:lncRNA from 1 species
AGGGGUUCUAGCUACCUACAUCCGUUACGUUAGUCUACGCGGCACAGAAUCCGCUCCUGCACUCUACCUGCAACCGAAGAAGAACACCUGAAAUGUUCAAAAAAAAAAAGAACACCUGCAAAACGCGUUCACCCCCAUUGUUUAUCAUUGUUCUGCGGUCCAGGGAUCAAUAAGCACACUAGUAGGCACUGGCACUACUGUAAAGCCCACAUGCUCCCUCCCAUCUGAUGCUCAUCAUGUGCAUGCUUGUACUGUUAUUCUUCGCUCGAGCAGAGAGGCGACGCUGAACCUGGCUAUGAAAAUGCACGAGGUUCACUCUCUCACCGCUCACCAUGCAAGCUCAAACUGCUGGAAAAGGUCGAGCUAAUGGAAAGGUUUGCUGGUACCAACUGUACCUGAUUUCCCCGGAGCAUUUCCGCAUGCGUUGUGUUGCCAUUGCAACGCGAAUCCUUCCUCUAGACUGCCGUAAGGUCGCAGCACAAGCAUCCCCGCUAGGGAGGGAGACGCCGAAUCUAGAUCGGAAUCGAGGGGGUCAAGUUGCGUGCCGGCGCAGCAACGACGGACGGACGGGGCUCGUUGCCGCCGCCGCAGUAUCGCCGCGGCAGCGACCGCAGGAGAUCCCGCGCACGGUCUCGGUCGUCCCCG